GAUGAACGCUGGCGGCGUGCCUAAUACAUGCAAGUCGAGCGAACAGAUGAGGAGCUUGCUCCUCUGACGUUAGCGGCGGACGGGUGAGUAACACGUGGAUAACCUACCUAUAAGACUGGGAUAACUUCGGGAAACCGGAGCUAAUACCGGAUAAUAUAUUGAACCGCAUGGUUCAAUAGUGAAAGACGGUUUUGCUGUCACUUAUAGAUGGAUCCGCGCCGCAUUAGCUAGUUGGUAAGGUAACGGCUUACCAAGGCAACGAUGCGUAGCCGACCUGAGAGGGUGAUCGGCCACACUGGAACUGAGACACGGUCCAGACUCCUACGGGAGGCAGCAGUAGGGAAUCUUUCGCAAUGGGCGAAAGCCUGACGGAGCAACGCCGCGUGAGUGAUGAAGGUCCUCGGAUCGUAAAACUCUGUUAUUAGGGAAGAACAAAUGUGUAAGUAACUAUGCACGUCUUGACGGUACCUAAUCAGAAAGCCACGGCUAACUACGUG
rnacentral:rRNA from 1 species